rnacentral:rRNA from 1 species
AUAGCUCACUGGUCGAGUCGGCCUGCGCGGAAGAUGUAACGGGGCUAAACCAUGCACCGAAGCUGCGGCAGCGAACGUAUCACCCAAGACAACUUUACGGAGUUGACGAUUGACGGAGCGAAGCGACGUCAAAGCGUUCAUUAAAGUCGAGUUGGCUUAGGGAUACGUUCGUUGGGUAGGGGAGCGUUCUGUAAGCCUGUGAAGGUGUGUCGUGAGGCAUGCUGGAGGUAUCAGAAGUGCGAAUGCUGACAUAAG